UGGAAAUCUAGGGAGGACGUCAGAGCAGGCUAAGUUAGGGAGAGGGGAAGGGUUGUCGUUUGUCCAGAGGAGAACGAAGAGCCCUUGCCUGCCUAAUGAGAGCACUGGUGAGGCUGUGUAUGGCGAUGGGCUUUAGAGCCAGUGCUGCUGCAGUUUUGUUUAUGCACGAGUCAGUUGAACUAGCUUAGAGACUGGGAAGACCGUUUCCUCCUGGAUCCCCAUUAAUUGGUUGCCAGGGGCCCCACAACAACUCACCUACAACCCACACAGUCCAGGACCAUCUACUACAGCUACGUGCUCACAGAGCCAGUGCAUCCGUACAGCUUCACCCAUUGUCAGCUACUUCUACAGGGUGCUGCAGGGCCGACUUCUUCAGGGACAGGGGGACAUGGAACAGUUUAUGUCCCGAAUACAAAGAAGCAGAGACUUUGAAGACAUCUCUGUUUCUCUGGGCCACAUGGCAGCUUUGCAAAAGAAUGAGUUCCUCUUACUAAGGACACUAAUCCCAUCCCACAGACUCAGCCGUACAUGUGUUGCAUACCAUGGCUCCACGUAUGAGUGCAAAGGAUUGGGUGCAUGUAGUGGGCCAGUAGGGGACGCUCCUGCACUGAGCCAUUCACCACACUGCGCCCAAAUACCUACCGAGUGCCUCCCCCAGGGCACCUCACAUCUGGCCACCCCACUUCCUGGAGCACAUCUGCAAGCCUGGGGUAACCGCUGCCGCCACCCAGGGGCCUGAUCUUUAUUUGGGCCCUGUGCCCUCUGGGCUACACAGGCCUUGUAGACCUCGAGGGUGCUUGACCCACUGCGAGAACUUGGGGUGCUUCCUUAAGCCUGAAGCACAGACAGGCUGGGACAGCAUUCCUCCACAGUGAGGACCUCAGCUUUGACUGCACGGCUAGACUAGGAUGCUGGGAGCACAGAAUGAGCAGAAGCCUUUUUCUAUCCUCUGUGUCUUUCUCCUCUGAACCAGGCAUCUCCUACUGAGAACAUUUCCAUCUACAGUAUUUAUGGAGCCCACAAAGGCAUCACCAAACACCGCAGCGAUCACGUCUGUUCAGGACGGGGGGAAGUGUUGAGUUAUGGAGGAGACUGGAGGAGAUGUAGCAAGGCUUACACAUGGCCGUGACUCCACCAAGAGAAGCCACGAGGAGGAGGCUCAGCAGCAGGAGGAGAGUGUAGAGGACACGGGAUCUCUUUGGAGAGGACUCAGGAAGGUUUCCUGGAAGAAGAAGAAGAAACAUCUCCAGGCUCUUCUGCUGCUGCUUUCAUCGUGGACGAAGAACCCAGCCGCCAUCUCCUCCCAACUGCUCGGUGAGAGUAUCCUUCACGCACAAAAAUGUAGGAACUGAGCACUGCAAACGAGAAGUGACCACUGCAUAUCCUCUGACCAAGUGAAACGAAAGGCUUCUGACCACCAAGUAAAAAGUGCUUCCACCAA